GAUGAACGCUGGCGGCGUGCCUAAUACAUGCAAGUCGAGCGAACAGAUGAGGAGCUUGCUCCUCUGACGUUAGCGGCGGACGGGUGAGUAACACGUGGAUAACCUACCUAUAAGACUGGGAUAACUUCGGGAAACCGGAGCUAAUACCGGAUAAUAUAUUGAACCGCAUGGUUCAAUAGUGAAAGACGGUUUUGCUGUCACUUAUAGAUGGAUCCGCGCCGCAUUAGCUAGUUGGUAAGGUAACGGCUUACCAAGGCAACGAUGCGUAGCCGACCUGAGAGGGUGAUCGGCCACACUGGAACUGAGACACGGUCCAGACUCCUACGGGAGGCACCAGUAGCGAAUCUUCCGCAAUGGUCGAAAGCCUGACGGAGCAGCGCCGCGUGAGUGAUGGAGGUCUUCGGAUCGUAAAACUCUGUUAUGAGUGAAGAACAAAUGUGUAAGUAACUAUGCACGUCUUGACGGUACCUAAUCAGAAAGCCACGGCUAACUACGUG
rnacentral:rRNA from 1 species